rnacentral:rRNA from 1 species
CAUGGCGAACGAGUUCGUUAGUCGACCUGAGAGGUGGAUCGCCCGUGGAUGAGAACCGACCAGAUCUACGAAGCAGCAGUAAGGAAUCUCGCAUUGACGUAAGUCUGACGAGCACGCCGCUGGAGUGAUGAAGGUUUUCGGAUCGUAAACUCUGUUUGUUAGGGAAGAACAAGUACCGUUCGAAUAGGGCGGUACUUUGACGGUACCUAACCCAGAAAGCACGGCUAACUACCGUGCCAGCAGCCGCGGUAAUACGUAGGUGGCAAGCGUUGUCCGGAAUUAUUGGGCGUAAAGCGCGCGCAGGCGGUUUCUUAAGUCUGAUGUGAAAGCCCCCGGCUCAACCGGGGAGGGUCAUUGGAAACUGGGGAACUUGAGUGCAGAAGAGGAGAGUGGAAUUCCACGUGUAGCGGUGAAAUGCGUAGAGAUGUGGAGGAACACCAGUGGCGAAGGCGACUCUCUGGUCUGUAACUGACGCUGAGGCGCGAAAGCGUGGGGAGCGAACAGGAUUAGAUACCCUGGUAGUCCACGCCGUAAACGAUGAGUGCUAAGUGUUAGAGGGUUUCCGCCCUUUAGUGCUGCAGCAAACGCAUUAAGCACUCCGCCUGGGGAGUACGGUCGCAAGACUGAAACUCAAAGGAAUUGACGGGGGCCCGCACAAGCGGUGGAGCAUGUGGUUUAAUUCGAAGCAACGCGAAGAACCUUACCAGGUCUUGACAUCCUCUGACAACCCUAGAGAUAGGGCUUCCCCUUCGGGGGCAGAGUGACAGGUGGUGCAUGGUUGUCGUCAGCUCGUGUCGUGAGAUGUUGGGUUAAGUCCCGCAACGAGCGCAACCCUUGAUCUUAGUUGCCAGCAUUCAGUUGGGCACUCUAAGGUGACUGCCGGUGACAAACCGGAGGAAGGUGGGGAUGACGUCAAAUCAUCAUGCCCCUUAUGACCUGGGCUACACACGUGCUACAAUGGGCAGAACAAAGGGCAGC